rnacentral:rRNA from 1 species
UGAACUUCUUUUCCCGGAGAAGAAGCAAUGACGGUAUCUGGGGAAUAACUAUCGACUAACUCUGUGCCAGAAACCGCAGUAAUACAGAUGAUGCAAGCGUUAUCCGGAAUAAUUGGGCGUAAAGCGUCUGUAGGUGGCUUUUUAAGUCCGCCGUCAAAUCCCAGGGCUCAACCCUACAUAGGCGGUUGAAACUACCAUGCUGGAGUACGGUAGGGGCAGAGGGAAUUUCCAGUGGAGCGAUGAAAUGCGUAGAGAUCGGAAAGAACACCAACGGCGAAAGCACUCUGAUGGGCCGACACUGACACUGAGAGACGAAAGAUAGGGGAGCGAAUGGUAUUAGACACCCCAGUUGUCCUAGCCGUAAAUGAUGGAUAAUAGGCGCUUAGCGUAUUGACCCGUGCAGUGCUGUAGCUAACAUGUUAUGUAUCCGCCUGGGGAGUACGUUCGCAUGAAUGUAACUCAAAGGAAUUGAUGGGGGCCCGCACAAGCGGUGGAGCAUGUGGUUUAAUUCGAUGCAAAGCGACGAACCUUAGAAGGGCUUGACAUACCGCGAAUCCUCUUGAAAGAGAGGGGUGCCUUCGGGAAUGCGGAGACAGGUUGUGCAUGGCUGUCGUCAGCUUGUGCCAUAAGGUGUUAGGUUAAGUCCCAUAAUGAGCGCAACCAUUGUUUUUAGUUGCCAUCCUUGAGUUUAGAACCCUGAACAGACUGCCGGAGGAAGGUGAGGAUGACGGCAAGUCAUCAUGUCUCUUAUGCCCUGGGCGACACACGUGCUACAAUUGCCAGGACAAAGGAUGGUGAUCCCGCGAUGGUGAGCUAACCCCAAAAACCCGUCCUUAGUUUUGAUUGCAGGCUGCAACUCGCGUGCAUGAAGCCGGAAUGACUAGUAAUCGCCGGUCAGAAAUAUGGAGGUGAAUUCAUCCCCGGGCCUUGUACACGCCGUCCGUCACACUAUGGGGGCUGGCCAUUCACGAAGUCGUUACCUUAACUGGAAGAAGGGGGAUGCCAAAGGCAGGGCUAGUGACUGGAUUGAAGUCGUAUCAAGGUAGCCAUACUGGAAGGUGCGGCUC